rnacentral:rRNA from 1 species
AGAGUUUGAUCAUGGCUCAGAACGUACGCUGGCGGCACGCCUAACACAUGCAAGUCGAACGAAGUAGCAAUACUUAGUGGCAGACGGGUGAGUAACAUGUAGGUAUCUGCCCUUUGGCCUGGAAUAACACGAGGAAACUUGUGCUAAUACCGGAUAAGUCUUUACGGAGAAAGCUUUAUGCACCAUUGGAUGAGCCUGCACUUGAUUAGUUUGUUGGUGGGGUAAUGGCCUACCAAGACUGUGAUCAAUAGCUGAUUUGAGAGGAUGAUCAGCCACAUUGGGACUGAGACACGGCCCAAACUCCUACGGGAGGCAGCAGUGGGGAAUCUUGCACAAUGGAGGAAACUCUGAUGCAGCGAUGCCGCGUGAGUGAAGAAGGCCCUUGGGUUGUAAAGCUCUUUCGUCGGGGAAGAAAAUGACUGUACCCGAAUAAGAAGGUCCGGCUAACUUCGUGGCAGCAGCCGCGGUAAUACGAAGGGACCUAGCGUAGUUCGGAAUUACUGGGCUUAAAGAGUUCGUAGGUGGUUGAAAAAGUUAGUGGUGAAAUCCCAGAGCUUAACUCUGGAACUGCCAUUAAAACUUUUCAGCUAGAGUAUGAUAGAGGAAAGCAGAAUUUCUAGUGUAGAGGUGAAAUUCGUAGAUAUUAGAAAGAAUACCAAUUGCGAAGGCAGCUUUCUGGAUCAUUACUGACACUGAGGAACGAAAGCAUGGGUAGCGAAGAGGAUUAGAUACCCUCGUAGUCCAUGCCGUAAACGAUGUGUGUUAGACGUUGGAAAUUUAUUUUCAGUGUCGCAGGGAAACCGAUAAACACACCGCCUGGGGAGUACGACCGCAAGGUUAAAACUCAAAUGAAUUGACGGGGACCCGCACAAGUAGUGGAGCAUGUGGUUUAAUUCGAAGAUACGCGCAGAACCUUACCAACACUUGACAUGUUCGUCGCGACUUUAAGAGAUUAAAGUUUUCGGUUCGGCCGGACGAAACACAGGUGCUGCAUGGCUGUCGUCAGCUCGUGUCGUGAGAUGUUGGGUUAAGUCCCGCAACGAGCGCAACCCUCACUUUUAGUUGCCAUCAUUUAGUUGGGCACUCUGAAAGAACUGCCAGUGAUAAGCUGGAGGAAGGUGGGGAUGACGUCAAGUCCUCAUGGCCCUUACGUGUUGGGCUACACACGUGCUACAAUGGUAUCUACAACAGGAAGCAAAACUGCGAAGUUAAGCAAAUCCUUAAAAGAUACCUCAGUUCGGAUUGCACUCUGCAACUCGAGUGCAUGAAGCUGGAAUUACUAGUAAUCGUGGAUCAGCGUGCCACGGUGAAUGCGUUCCCGGGUCUUGUACACACCGCCCGUCACACCAUGGGAGUUGGUUCUACCUUAAGGCAAGGUUUCAAACCCUUGACCACGGU